CCUACGGGGGGCAGCAGUGAGGAAUAUUGGUCAAUGGUCGGGAGACUGAACCAGCCAAGCCGCGUGAGGGAUGAAGGUACAGAGUAUCGUAAACCUCUUUUGUCAGGGAACAAAGGCGGGGACGUGUCCCCGGAUGAGUGUACCUGAAGAAAAAGCAUCGGCUAACUCCGUGCCAGCAGCCGCGGUAAUACGGAGGAUGCGAGCGUUAUACGGAUUUAUUGGGUUUAAAGGGUGCGUAGGCGGACGCUUAAGUCAGCGGUAAAAUUGCGGGGCUCAACCUCGUCGAGCCGUUGAAACUGGGUGCC
rnacentral:rRNA from 1 species